GCUGCUGUGUGUGUGGGGGAGCCAGCACCAGGACAGUGGCUGCUGUGGAGGGUGAAGAGCCAGCACCAGGUCAGUAGCUGCUGUGGAAGGGGGUAGAGGGCCAGCACCAGGUCAGUGGCUGCUGGGGGUGGGGGCCAGCAGUCAUCAUCACGCAGACGGCACAUGCUUCAUUUUCUUUUUUGGUGACCAGUGUCUUGUGAUGUCUGUGAGCACUCGGGCUGUCUAGACUAGCGCUUUUUAAACCAUGGGUUGUGACGUCAAUGGAGUGGGUGCGGUCACAAAGUAGUGACAAACUAAACAGAAGGGACAGGAAGCACAUGGGGAGGGCAUCUGCUUAUGGCCAGGAGGCAUAUCUGCAAAUAUGAGCCCUGGUUAGAAGGCUAACGUCUCCUGCAAUGGGACAUUGAAAGCCUUGGCUGACUCAUCUGGACAGACUAUGUUUGCAGGAGAGAUCACUUGCCCCAAAGGCUGGUAUAUCUUCCGAUAUGAAAUGCUCUGGAUGAGGCCCCCUAGUGGGCCUUUAGACCAAGCGUCCCUUUAGAACUAGCAAGGCUGGGGAAGGGCUAUGAAAUGAGCCUACAGCAGGAGCUAGCUGCGUAUGACAGUCUCUAAAUCCUACGGGAAUCCUAGGCACAGACAACGUGGAGCCACCCUCAGUCCUUACUCCACGCCUUCUGCAGCAGGGGAAGAGCCUCGGGCACAGACUCACCCUACCUAGGGGCCACACCUGGCAGCCAGACACACAACCAGAAUAGGCACAACCCAGUGCAGGGCUCAAGUGAUGUGGGGUCUGCUAAGGCCCUGGUAUCUGCAGCCCAGGGGUAAGGAUUGGUCAACCUGAGAUGGCAACAGCUAUGUGAGUCAGCCUGGAUGCCACCCAGGCUCCCGCUGUGACCCAGGCAGGGCCAGCAGCACAGUUCUGGGUAUCUUUAAGUACUAACUGUUCUGGGAUGAAACCACCCUCGUUUCUCUGGGUUUUGGUGACCUCUAUACAUGGCCAUUAUCAGAACAGGGAGACAGAUGAGGCCGGAGGCCACAGCAGGGGUGGAGUGGGAGGGUGCACUGGCAAGCUGCUAAGUGCAAAGUUAGGGAUGGGCCUGUCCCUAGCUGGGCUGCAGGCCCACCUCCCACACCCCAGGGCAGCAUAGCAAACCACAACCCAGAGAGAGGCCUGGCCAAGUUCUGAGGCUACACUGCCCUCUUCUGGCCAGCGCUGGAAAGCCUUGCACACCAUCUGUGAGCCACCACCUGUACUUGGGAGAUCUGGACCUGGAGCACACGUGCACCUGUACUCUGAUAGGUUUGGAGAGGAGUCCCGGCGCCUAGCUUCCCCUCUUAUUAUAGGCUGGCAGGUAGCCGAGGAGGCAUGCCCCAUCUACUUCCUGAAUCAGAACCCCCAGUGGGGACGCAUCCUCUGCCAUGUGGAGUGAAUAGCUCAGCUGGAGAGUCUUGGACAAGAAUGACCCAACCUGGGAUGCCCUCUUCCUGGUGGACUUAGGCAUGCUGACCCAGGUGCAGCCCUUAUCUGUCUGUGAGCGGCUCAGAGGGGUAUUUAAGGACCACUCCUUACCCAGAGCCAGUGACUUCCCUGUUUCUCUAGAUGUGCUCACAGCUACCUGCUUGGAGCUAGAUGCAGUGGGAAGCAUCUUCUGUGGCCGCCCACUCAGGAAGGGCCUCCGGUGACCUUAUUCAACACCACCCUUUAUGUGAACACGCUGGAAGCAUCGGCUAACAAGACCGCCACACUUGGCAAGCCCUGUCGUCAAAGCCCUGCCUGCUUGCCUUGAAGAAGGAAACAAGAUGCAGCUGAUGUUUCCUGCAGGACAGUGACCCGACCAGCGGGUUCAGGGGACUCCAGGGACACAGCCGGAAGGUGCUCGGGGAGCCAACGGGAAAACUCCAAGAGGCUCAACAGCCGCAGGCUCUGCACCGAGAGAGGCCCAGACAGCUGAAGCCACACAUGUCCCCACUCCUUCCCUGGGAUCCACACAGAGCAGCUGGGUGUGGGGCCUGGGAGCACUGGCUAGGAUGUGGGAUGGCCUGCAGGACUUGGCUGACAAGCUUGAUAUACAGCAUAGACCAGCCUGGGCAACAUCUAGACCUCACAGGUCAGGACUGUGGCCCAUAGUGGCUAGAAGUGGCCUUAGCUGGCUUUCAGCCCCACCCAAGGUUAACACAAGCAGGCAACAGUGGUGCAUGCCUGCAAUCCGAGCACUUGGGAGGCCAAGACACUGCUAUACAUCAGGGCCAGCCUGGGCUACAUUGUGAGAUCCUAGUUCAGCUGUUUUAAAAAAGUAGUUGCCUGAAUAAAGGAGGCCUGAUUUGUGCUCUGCCCUGGCCCUGGGCUGGAAAAUGCUCUUUGGAGACACAGAAAGCGGGGAGAUAGAUGUCCAGCCCGUCUGGCUUUGCAGUUUGGUUCCGGCAUUCACCAGUUCCCGACCCCUUGGAGUCAGUGCUCUAAGACCCCAUAGAUGGACUGUAAAACUGCAGUGGGAGCUGGGAGCCUCUGUGCUCAGGAUCAUACAACAUGGCUCCUGGUGCGCUUAUGUGGGUAUGUGCUGAGAAGCGUGGGUGUACUCACUGCUGGGACUACUGAAAGGGACUUGAAGGUCUGACUGUCACUCAGCAUCUCCUCUCCUCACUGCUCCCCAAACAGCCCUAUAACUGUUCAAUUAUCUUUCAUGUCAAAAGCUUGGCAGAGCCCAGAGUGCACCCCUGUGCUCGAUGCCUGGAGCACAUGCUCUGUCUCAGGUGGCACUCAGCUUUGGCACAGACUCCAUUCUAGACACAUAUUCUGGUCCCCUACCUUAUGAUGAAGGGCUGUGGCUUUAUGUUGGGAUAACAGUGUGAUUUAUUAUUUACCAAACGCACUAGGUGCUUGGCAGAUCAAUUUCAAUAAAACAAUGGAUUAUAAAUGCCGCCAGCAAUCUGGCAGUAGCAGUAAUCAACAAAACAUGUUCUAAAUGCUGCAUAAUAAAUUGACUAUAAUAAACUCAUAAUGAUUCCACUGGCUACAUUUCAAAGUUAGCACUAGAAAAACAAAAUCACCAAUUUGAGUUUGGCAUGAACAUCCACGGGGUUCCUCUGCUCACUCCUGUUCGCAGCUGUAUCCAGCCAGAGGCACAGGUGCCACACACUGCUCAUGAGGACUGAGGUCACAGCAGUUGGGCCAUAUAGAGGCCUAUGGGACAUAAGUAUCCUCAUUGGCCCCUACCCAUCUCUGGGAUCCCAAUGAAUGCAGGUAGGGCUGGCGUUUUCACAGGCAAGAUCCCCCUUUUGGACAGAGAGAGUAGAAGUAGCUGCUUCCUCUGGGGUGUGUGGAACUCAAGAAGAGCCAAACUCAUGGCCAAGGGGGCUCCAGCCAGAGCUCCCUCAGGAUGCAGGGACCUGCUGAUGUGGCUGGCCUCAGUCUCUGCCCUGGGGUUGGGUUUUUCCCCCAGUCCUAACCAGAAUAGGCCAGAGCUAAAGAUCAUCAGAAAGACUCUUAGGCGCGGGGGGCUUGUGAUACAGGCCAAAGUGUCAAGCUCUUUGGAGGCUGAGACAGGAGGAUUGAAACUUUAAGUCCUGCCUGGUAAACUUAGUAAGACUCUGUCUCAAAAUAACAAUUGAGCUGGGCGGUGCUGGCGCAGGCCUUUAAUCCCAGCACUUGGGAGGCAGAGACAGGUGGAUCUCUGUGAUCUGGUCUACGUGAGCUAGUUCCAGGACAGGAUCCAAAGCUGCAGAGAAACGCUGUUUCGAAAAGCCAAAACAACCAACCAAAUGAAAAGAGGGCUAGACUGCCAAACAUGCUCAAGACCCUAGGUACUCAGAAGUGUCAGGAGGUGCAGGUGAGGAAUAGAGGAGGUCAGGGAGACGGAAGCUUGGGGUGAUCAUAGUGCCUGAAGGGACCAGGCGGCCUCUCCUGCUGCCACAGGCUUCACCAAGGCCUAGAGGGGAGGGAGGGCCCGUUCUAUGCAUCUCCAACUGAGCCAAGUCUGAGGCAGC